rnacentral:rRNA from 1 species
UAGGGAAUCUUCGGCAAUGGGGGGAACCCUGACCGAGCAACGCCGCGUGAGUGAAGAAGGUUUUCGGAUCGUAAAGCUCUGUUGUUAAGGAAGAACGAGUGUGAGAAUGGAAAGUUCAUACUGUGACGGUACUUAACCAGAAAGGGACGGCUAACUACGUGCCAGCAGCCGCGGUAAUACGUAGGUCCCGAGCGUUGUCCGGAUUUAUUGGGCGUAAAGCGAGCGCAGGCGGUUAGAAAAGUCUGAAGUGAAAGGCAGUGGCUCAACCAUUGUAGGCUUUGGAAACUGUUUAACUUGAGUGCAGAAGGGGAGAGUGGAAUUCCAUGUGUAGCGGUGAAAUGCGUAGAUAUAUGGAGGAACACCGGUGGCGAAAGCGGCUCUCUGGUCUGUAACUGACGCUGAGGCUCGAAAGCGUGGGGAGCGAACAGGAUUAGAUACCCUGGUAGUCCACGCCGUAAACGAUGAGUGCUAGGUGUUAGGUCCUUUCCGGGACUUAGUGCCGCAGCUAACGCAUUAAGCACUCCGCCUGGGGAGUACGACCGCAAGUUG